AGAAUCAAAAUCCUCCAAUCCCUCCUCCUCUAUAUAAACCCCCAAAACCCCUUCACCCUUUCAUCAACUCGUGAUAACACCACUCUCAAAAUUAAAGGUUCAGAAGACAAACCAAAUUUCUUUUGUUUUUUCAAGAAAAACACCAUGAAGAACCUUUUGUGCUCAGUUGCUGUCUGCCUUUCCGUCCUCUUUGUUCUUGCUCAGACCAAUGAAGCAGCAAUUCCCUGUGGCACUGUGGACAUGAAGGCUGCCGCCUGCAUCUCCUUUGCCACAGGGAAGGAUGCAAUUCCGUUGGCGCCGUGUUGCAAUGGGCUGCAACAGUUGGCACAAAGUGUGAAGUCUGUGGAUGAUAAGAAGGCUAUCUGCAGAUGCCUUAAGGCUGGUGUCAAGAACUUUGCUGGGGUACAAGACAAGUUCCUUAGCCAACUCCCUACUGCUUGUAAAAUCAAAGUUGGCUUCCCUGUCUCCAUGAUCACCAACUGUGAAACGUGAGUAUAAGUUAUAUGCAUUGACCGUCUCGAGUAUUUUGUACAUAUGGAAUAACUUUUUAUUUAUACAUUCAAAUAUGUGAUUCUAUUUUAUUGUUUUGCACUUACGUAGUAAUAUUUAUGUUGCAGGAUUCGCUUCUAAGCCAAGCAUGCCAUGCAUGAAGAACUUGUGGGAAAGGUAGAAGGUAGUUAGUGUGUUGAUGAAUAAAACAUGAGGCGAUGGGGCUGUUAUAGCUAGAAGUAGGAGAUCAUGGGCUGUGUACCUCAACUUUGUAACACUCUUAUUUUUGACUUCCAAUGCAUAAUUUCAGUUCUUUAGCUCCAAA
rnacentral:lncRNA from 1 species